rnacentral:rRNA from 1 species
AGUGAACGCUGGCGGUAGGCCUAACACAUGCAAGUCGAACGGCAGCACAGAGGAGCUUGCUCCUUGGGUGGCGAGUGGCGGACGGGUGAGGAAUACAUCGGAAUCUACUCUGUCGUGGGGGAUAACGUUGGGAAACUUAGGCUAAUACCGCAUACGACGUACGGGUGAAAGCAGGGGAACUUCGGAGCUUGCGAGAUUGAAUGCGCCGAUGUCGGAUUAGCUAGUUGGCCGGGUAAAGGCCCACCAAGGCGCCGAUCCGUAGCUGGUCUGAGAGGAUGAUCAGCCACACUGGAACUGAGACACGGUCCAGACUCCUACGGGAGGCAGCAGUGGGGAAUAUUGGACAAUGGGCGCAAGCCUGAUCCAGCCAUACCGCGUGGGUGAAGAAGGCCUUCGGGUUGUAAAGCCCUUUUGUUGGGAAAGAAAUCCAUCUGGUUAAUACCCGGGUGGGAUGACGGUACCCAAAGAAUAAGCACCGGCUAACUUCGUGCCAGCAGCCGCCGUAA